UCCCGCCCAGAGCCACGAGCUGCUGGCUUUCUUUCCCUUUUCGGCAGCCAUCGAGUGCGGUUUAGUUCAAUUGUAAGUCUCGUAUUUAAUAAGUUGGUGAAAGUUUGUUUGAAAAUUAUAUCUCUAUAGUGGCCUUGUGUAAAGUGACGGAUAGAAUUCCCAGAUUAUAUAUAGCGCUGAAUCCUGUUUAUGGGUAAGAAAAAAUGAAAUGGUUGCGAAGUUUGCAGACCCAAAAGUGAUUUUUGAUUUAGGUUUGGCGCUUAGUAUCCGAUAUUGGAUCCGGCCGUUGCUGUAGAGGGAACAAUUCAUCAAGUCCCCCUAAAGAAGAGCGAAGUCAUCCGACGGAGAAGGGAAAUUAUCGUCGCAUAAAGGGGUCUCAAAGCCUAAGAGUUCCCUAAGAUAAUUAUUUAAUCAGCUUAAGUCGCUGGGAGCGGAGUUAGGACUAAGAGAGGGCAAAAGAGUCAAAAAGAACUCGAGAUGUAACACCUGCCCAAAUUACACAUAAUAUUUAUAUUCCCUCUUCAUCAUCUUCGUUAUCUCCCGUCUGCGAGCGCAACUUAGCGAAGUUCAGCUUGGCAGGCAGUUUUUCGGCGCGCUGAUCUAGUUUAGACGUUUCGGUCCACGCUCGGACAAAAAUUUAAUUUAACUCGUCGAACAACAAUGCGGAAUAAUUGUUAAGUCGCCGCACGGAAUGUUAUGUGAAAUAAGCAGUGAGAGUGGAAAAGUAAGAAAAAAAAAGAAGGGAAAGAAGAGAAAAGUGCAGUGAUGGUUAGAAGGCCAGAAAGGCUUUAAUAAUGAAUAACUAGAAGCACGAAUUGCUUUAGGCAUAAUUUAUU